GAUGAACGCUGGCGGCGUGCCUAAUACAUGCAAGUCGAGCGAACGGACGAGAAGCUUGCUUCUCUGAUGUUAGCGGCGGACGGGUAAGUAACACGUGGAUAACCUACCUAUAAGACUGGGAUAACUUCGGGAAACCGUAGCUAAUACCGGAUAAUAUUUUGAACCGCAUGGUUCAAAAGUGAAAGACGGUCUUGCUGUCACUUAUAGAUGGAUCCGCGCUGCAUUAGCUAGUUGGUAAGGUAACGGCUUACCAAGGCAACGAUGCAUAGCCGACCUGAGAGGGUGAUCGGCCACACUGAAACUGAGACACGGUCCAGACUCCUACGGGAGGCAGCAGUAGGGAAUCUUCCGCAAUGGGCGAAAGCCUGACGGAGCAACGCCGCGUGAGUGAUGAAGGUCUUCGGAUCGUAAAACUCUGUUAUUAGGGAAGAACAUAUGUGUAAGUAACUGUGCACAUCUUGACGGUACCUAAUCAGAAAGCCACGGCUAACUACGUG
rnacentral:rRNA from 1 species